rnacentral:rRNA from 1 species
AACGAACGCUGGCGGCAUGCCUAACACAUGCAAGUCGAACGAGACCUUCGGGUCUAGUGGCGCACGGGUGCGUAACGCGUGGGAACCUGCCCUUAGGUUCGGAAUAACUCCCCGAAAGGGGUGCUAAUACCGGAUAAUGUCUUCGGACCAAAGAUUGAUCGCCUUUGGAUGGGCCCGAGUUGGAUUAGCUAGUUGGUAGGGUAAAAGCCUAUCAAGGCGACGAUCCAUAGCUGGGUUGAGAGGAAGAUCAGCCACACUGGGGCUGAGACACGGCCCAGACUCCUACGGGAGGCAGCAGUGGGGAAUAUUGGACUAUGGGCGAAAGCCUGAUCCAGCAAUGCCGCGUGAGUGAUGAAGGCCUGAGGGUUGUAAAGCUCUUUUACCCGGGAUGAUAAUGACAGUACCGGGAGAAUAAGCACCGGCUAACUCCGUG